rnacentral:rRNA from 1 species
UACGGAAGGCAGCAGUGGGGAAUAUUGCACAAUGGGCGCAAGCCUGAUGCAGCCAUGCCGCGUGUAUGAAAAGGCCUUCGGAUUGUAAAGUACUUUCAGUCGUGAGGAAGGUGUUAAGGUUAAUAACCUUAGCAAUUGACGUUAGCGACAGAAGAAGCACCGGCUAACUCCGUGCCAGCAGCCGCGGUAAUACGGAGGGUGCGAGCGUUAAUCGGAAUUACUGGGCGUAAAGGGCACGCAGGCGGUUAAUUAAGUUGGAUGUGAAAUCCCCGGGCUUAACCUGGGAAUGGCAUUCAAGACUGGUUAGCUAGAGUCUUGUAGAGGGGGUAGAAUUCCAUGUGUAGCGGUGAAAUGCGUAGAGAUGUGGAGGAAUACCGGUGGCGAAGGCGGCCCCUGGGACAAAGGACUGACGCUCAUGUGCGAAAGCGUGGGGAGCGAAACAGGGAUUAGAU